rnacentral:rRNA from 1 species
UCCGUAGGCGGUUUAGUAAGUCAGUGGUGAAAGCCCAUCGCUCAACGGUGGAACGGCCAUUGAUACUGCUAGACUUGAAUGCUUAGGAAGUAACUAGAAUAUGUAGUGUAGCGGUGAAAUGCUUAGAUAUUACAUGGAAUACCAAUUGCGAAGGCAGGUUACUACUAAGUGAUUGACGCUGAUGGACGAAAGCGUGGGGAGCGAACAGGAUUAGAUACCCUGGUA